UGGGGAAUUUUGGACAAUGGGCGCAAGCCUGAUCCAGCCAUGCCGCGUGCAGGAUGAAGGCCUUCGGGUUGUAAACUGCUUUUGUACGGAACGAAAAGGUGCCUUCUAAUAAAGGGCGCUCAUGACGGUACCGUAAGAAUAAGCACCGGCUAACUACGUGCCAGCAGCCGCGGUAAUACGUAGGGUGCGAGCGUUAAUCGGAAUUACUGGGCGUAAAGCGUGCGCAGGCGGUUUUGUAAGACAGAGGUGAAAUCCCCGGGCUCAACCUGGGAACUGCCGUUGUGACUGCAAGGCUGGAGUGCGGCAGAGGGGGAUGGAAUUCCGCGUGUAGCAGUGAAAUGCGUAGAUAUGCGGAGGAACACCGAUGGCGAAGGCAAUCCCCUGGGCCUGCACUGACGCUCAUGCACGAAAGCGUGGGGAGCAAACA
rnacentral:rRNA from 1 species